GAUUCAGAGCUGGUCCCCUCAUCUGUGCAGGGUGAUUCUUUGGCCCUUUCUCUCCUUGUUGGUGGUACAGGGGAGCACACAUGUAAGUUGAGACAGGGGGAUAGAGUGAGUCCCUUCUAGAUCUCCUCAAAUCCUCAGCUCCAAUAAGUCACCAGACUCCCAUUGACCAGAUAAGACUGCAACACUGGUUGUCACUUGAAAGCAUGUCACACAGACAGACAAUAAACGUACUUUGAAAUCUUCCCAGCUUCUAGCCCUCACCAACACGUCUCAUGAACCUGACCUGGGCAAAGCUAGAAGCAUUCUCAAGCCAAGCUGCCCUGCAGUUACCAGUUAGUGGAGAGAGAAUCUUCCCACCUCCAGGAUUCAUUUUUUAAUACACCGAAAUAAUGAGAGGCAAGAUUUGAAAUACCGACAUUGAUGGAGAUAACAUAAAACUCAUUAUACGCCACUACAAUGAGGACAUCGAUGACAAUCUGGGUAAUGGAAAAAUACCACCCGGGCUGGCUGCCCGGGGCAACAGGCCACAUGGACAUCAUCCCGAAUGUGGGGCUGAGCUCAACUUUGGAAGAAUAGUUCCAAGUUCAUCCCAGCCAGACACUCCAGCCAGACCAGACAUCUCACAUUCCAUGCUGAGUCCUGCCCUGGGGCACUUGCUUCUGCUGUUCUCCCAUCAGGAUGUUCCUCUCUCCUAGGCAUUGAACCCUUACCCCUGAGCACUUAACUCCUAGAUUUUCUUUGAGGCCCUUGUCAAGAUGGAGUUCUUUCGGGAAAGCUUUCCUGGAAAAGCCCAUAGUCAUGUAGUUUCCCCUUUACACUAUCUGCUUUUAGAUUUCCUCCUUCAAAUCAACUGCACCUUUUCUUAAUCAUGUUGGGGCUGUCUGGACAUUGCUCCAGAGCUUUCUACAUACAGCCUUACACCAUGUUGUCCCUCCUGCUGGACUGGCAGUUCCACAGAGGCAGGACCUCCUCUGUAUGCACCCUUUGCAUGGUUCAGUGCAUUUAGUUUGGGGUUCUGCAUCCCACCAAAGCUUUCUAAUUGCAUUUGAACAGGAAUGGAGAAUUUUGACAUUUUCUCUAUAUCAGGAGGAAUUGUCUGCCUCAGGAAAUAGGUAGAAGUACAAGGAGCUCAGUGCUGUGAUUUUCAGACAGAAAAAAUUUAAAAAGAAAAGAAAAGAAAACCUGAGAACAAUGUUCAUCAAUGAAGAAUGAGUAAGAAAAUGUAAAAUAUAGUGAUUUGUCACAAAGCAUUAAAAUAAAGAAAUGGAGUUGAAUCCUUAAUAUGUAUAGAUCUCUGAGACAGAAAUGUUUGAGACAAUAUGUUUGUUACAAUGCAAUUACCUAAACUCAGUACUUCACCAGCCAGUACUACAUAGUGUUCUAUGGAUCCAUAUGAACACAGGCAUAUAUGAAUAUGGGGGUGAGGAAUAGAUCCAUGCAGUUCAU